GCUUUCCAUUAACUGCUGCUCCUAUCAACAAUGUUCAGCAGAAGCUGAUGGUUAAAGAAGAAGCUUGUUUAGACCACAGACCUCGUGCCGACCUGCAUGACUCAAAGUUCCCCCACAUCAAGGAGGAACAGGAGGGAGUCCACAUCAGUCUGCCUGGAAAGCAGCUCAAUAGGAAGGAGCUUUAUCCAGACCAAAUUAAAGGCAGAGAGCUUCCAGAAGAGGAUGAUGGAAAGGAAUCCAUUAGGAAACAAGAUCAUGGAGAUGCUUCCAUUUCUUCAGAGGGUGAAGACACUGAGGAGGAUGAAAAGGACAGUGAUGUAGAGCACCCUCUUUCUGAGCUGAAACAGUUGUCAGACUCUGGAUAUAAGAAAUGUUCUACAGAGAAGAAAAAUGUGGAGUCAUGUAGGAAAGGCCGCACAGGAGUGAAGCUUAGCUGCAAAGACUGUGGUAAAACAUUUAUUGGAAAAUAUGCUUUAAACACACACAUGAGAACCCA